rnacentral:rRNA from 1 species
GGGCCCGCACAAGCGGUGGAGCAUGUGGUUUAAUUCGAUGAUACGCGAGGAACCUUACCAGGGCUUAAAUGUAGUGGGACAGGUCUAGAGAUAGACCCUUCUUCGGACUCAUUACAAGGUGCUGCAUGGUUGUCGUCAGCUCGUGCCGUGAGGUGUCAGGUUAAGUCCUAUAACGAGCGCAACCCCUAUCGUUAGUUGCCAGCGAGUAAUGUCGGGAACUCUAACGAAACUGCCAGUGCAAACUGUGAGGAAGGUGGGGAUGACGUCAAAUCAUCACGGCCCUUACGUCCUGGGCUACACACGUGCUACAAUGGCCGGUACAGAGAGCAGCCACUUCGCAAGAAGGAGCGAAUCUUCAAAGCCGAUCACAGUUCGGAUCGGAGUCUGCAACUCGACUCCGUGAAGCUGGAAUC